rnacentral:rRNA from 1 species
UACGUAGGGUGCAAGCGUUAAUCGGAAUUACUGGGCGUAAAGCGUGCGCAGGCGGUUGUGCAAGACCGAUGUGAAAUCCCCGGGCUUAACUCGGAAAGGUCAACUGAUACUGCGGGGCUAGAGUGCGGAAGGGGCAACUGGAAUUCUCGGUGUAGCGGUGAAAUGCGUAGAUAUCGAGAGGAAUACCGGUGGCGAAGGCGGCAUCCUGGACCGGCAUUGACGCUGAGGAGCGAAAGCUAGGGGAGCAAACGGG